UACAGAGGGUGCAAGCGUUAAUCGGAAUUACUGGGCGUAAAGCGAGCGUAGUCGGUUAUUUAAGUCGGAUGUGAAAUCCCCGGGCUCAACCUGGGAAUUGCAUUGUGACUGCACGGCUAGAGUGUGUCAGAGGGGGGUAGGAAUUCCACGUGUAGCAGUGAAAUGCGUAGAGAUGUGGAGGAAUACCGAUGGCGAAGCAGCCCCCUGGGAUAACACUGACGCUCAUGCACGAAAGCGUGGGGAGCAAACAGG
rnacentral:rRNA from 1 species